AUUGAACGCUGGAGGCAGGCCUAACACAUGCAAGUCGAGCGGAGCGGCGGACGGGUGAGUAAUGCCUAGGAAUCUGCCUGGUAGUGGGGGAUAACGUCAGGAAACGGGCGCUAAUCCCGCAUACUAUCAGAUGAGCCUAGGUCGGAUUAGCUAGUUGGUGGGGUAAAGGCCUACCAGGGCGACGAUCCGUAACUGGUAUGAUAGGAUGAUCAGUCAAACGUGAACUGAGACACGGUCCAGACGCCUACGGGAGGGAGCAGUGGGGAAUAUUGGACAAUGGGCGAAAGCCUGAUCCAGCCAUGCCGCGUGUGUGAAGAAGUUCUUCGGAUUGUAAAGCACUUUAAGUUGGGAGGCGUUACCAACAGAAUAAGCACCGGCUAACUUCGUGCCAGCAGCCGCGGUAAUUC
rnacentral:rRNA from 1 species